rnacentral:rRNA from 1 species
GACGAACGCUGGCGGCGUGCUUAACACAUGCAAGUCGAGCGGUAAGGCCCUUUCGGGGGUACACGAGCGGCGAACGGGUGAGUAACACGUGGGUGACCUGCCCUCCAGCUCUGGGAUAAGCCUGGGAAACCGGGUCUAAUACCGGAUAUGACUCCAUGACGCAUGUUGUGGGGUGGAAAGCCUUGUGCGGCUGAGGAUGGGCCCGCGGCCUAUCAGCUUGUUGGUGGGGUGAUGGCCUACCAAGGCGACGACGGGUAGCCGGCCUGAGAGGGCGACCGGCCACACUGGGACUGAGACACGGCCCAGACUCCUACGGGAGGCAGCAGUGGGGAAUCUUGCGCAAUGGGCGAAAGCCUGACGCAGCGACGCCGCGUGAGGGAUGACGGCCUGUGUAACU